UGGGCUCGAAGGUCUUCUCUCCCCCUCUCUCUCUAUCACACACGAAACCCUAGCCAGUGGCCACAAAGGUUUGUUAUCUACAAUUUGGUUCUGUUUUAUUCCGAUUUGGGUCUGUGUAGCUUUUGUUCUCUACUACGGAUUGUGUAGCUUUUGUUUAGGUCAGAUUUGUUGCAUCCUUCUUCACAUCUUUUAGGGUUUUUUUCUUUUAUUACUUUUUUGAUUUGGGUCUGUUGUGAUGAGAAUGUACACUCUCUCACCGAUGGCUUGUGGAAGCUCAGCUUUGACAUCCAUAUGCCAUAUGACAUCCAUCCGAGCCUUCUAGACCCGCCAAAGUCCAGUAACUUCAUGUGUACGAGUUCAACAAGCGCGAUAGUGGAAGCCCUGCCUACCUACGAUUGAGGCAUAAAUCGGUCAAUGCCCUCAGCGAUCUAGUCCCUUUCAGUAACAAGGUGCAUUGGAGAAGAUUUUCAGCAUCAUCAAAGAGGAAGGAGGAGGUUAUGAG